rnacentral:rRNA from 1 species
UACGUAGGGUGCAAGCGUUAAUCGGAAUUACUGGGCGUAAAGCGUGCGCAGGCGGUUAUGUAAGACAGAUGUGAAAUCCCCGGGCUCAACCUGGGAACUGCAUUUGUGACUGCAUGGCUAGAGUACGGUAGAGGGGGAUGGAAUUCCGCGUGUAGCAGUGAAAUGCGUAGAUAUGCGGAGGAACACCGAUGGCGAAGGCAAUCCCCUGGACCUGUACUGACGCUCAUGCACGAAGGCGUGGGGAGCAAACAGG